CAUCCUGAGGUCACUGUCUGGUGUGAGGGGAGGACAGCUGAUAACUACGUGGUUAUGCAGUGUUCCCAGGCAUCACUGGUCCCCAGCCAUGGCCUCUGCCUACCACUGCCACAAAUACAGAAGGAAUGCCAUCCCCUUCAGACUCAGCUUUAAUCCUCAGAGUUUCAUCUAGUCCUUUAUGGGCAGAUGUUACCCAAACCCAAAAUUUCCACAGGCCCUCUUGAUUUUUUCACAGUGAUCUAGAUCAGACAUUGAGCCUAUGCAUAUUACACCCCUGCACUGACUUUCUGAUUUCCAAAGCAAUUCUACAAUCUCUGCAACCCACUCAAAGUUUUUCUUUACCAUCUGGAGCCCUUCCAGAGUUGCUUCUUUGAGGUCACAAUAAGACUGUUUGUCUUUCUGUUUGCUUUGAUCUCUUGAUGGCCAGAGUCUCUGGGUAUCAUUAUCAGUAACAUCAUCAGCAACAACAACUUCUCUGGUGGUUACAUCAACACCAAAUUCAAUCUUUGUGUCAACUUGUACACAGUUCUGUGGCAACCAGGAUUUCUCCAGUAUUUUAAAAAUAACCUGUGCAGCAUGACUCACGCUAGCUACUUCACUUUGGCCUUUACCAAGUCCAGCACAGCAAAAUUUCACAGCAAUUCACUGUUUCUCAUUACUGGCAGCACCCUUGAAAACAUCUCCACAUUAGGUUAUUUCUACCUAGGACAUGAAAUGAAUGGAAUGAUUGAGAAAUUAUUGCCACACCAUUCUGCUAGGUACAAAUCAAAAAGAAAACACGUCUACUCUUGGUGUAAUUUCUAGCUCUGCCUCAAGAAUCUUCUAGCAGGCGCUUUUUCACCUGGCUUAAUGGUCAGGUCGCACCCCUGAGUAUGUCAGUCAAAC
rnacentral:lncRNA from 1 species